rnacentral:sRNA from 1 species
UUGACAAGACUGGAGACUGAAGUCUCUAUUUAUUCACAGCACAGUUACAAUAUGAACAGCAAGGGAAGCUUUCCAUAUGGACAGGCUCUAUCAAUCCUACCUUUACCCCAGUCAUAGAUGACCUACACCUUAGGGCAAAAACACAUUAGCUGCUCAGUUCUUGUCAUUCUUGAGGCUGCU